CCUGACACACACCUCCCACCCUUCCUUUGUCCUCUGUCCCUCCCUGCAGGUGGAAGUGAACCCCUCGUUGGACAUGGCUGAGUCAGACUUCCAGAACAACGUGAUGCGUUGCCGCUGCAAGUACGAUGGAGGCCGCGUCUUCAUGUUUGGCUGCCACGCAGGUGAUGCAUACAGUCCAGAGGUGGAGGAUCUGUUUGAGCACCAGCGUCAGAUCACCAACAACUUCCUCUAACCAACYGAACAACAGAAUAACUAAUGGGGGARCUCCAUCCAACAGAACAACGAAUGAGAGACUUCAGAACAACCAAUCAACCAAUGGGAGUUCUCAGGGCAGAGCUUCGGAACCACAGCUCAUCUCAACUCACCCAAUCAGGGGAGAGGAGCUGGAGGAGAACCAGGAAGCCGGGGUUGGAAUGGACUGUGGGAGGGAGGGGGGAGGAAGGAAGAGGGGAGGGAAGGGGGGAAUUGUUUCUGAAAAGGUCAAAGAAAGAAUCACCUGAACGUCAAGCAAUCAUCGCACCUUCACCAUCGCUAACCAUAUCUCUGAGAGAGAGAGUAUAGACAGAGACGUAUACAGGACUUAUGGGUAGUUGUGACACGUUUCUCAGUUGGAAUCGGAACGUAUCAAGCUGUCACGUGUCAGGUGUCACCAUGGCAACGCGGAGUUAUUUACAGAUUUGAAAUGACGGAAAAACAACAAGGUAGUUCCCUAAGAUUCAGACAUACUAUGGUUAUGUAGCACAGGAGGCUGGUGGCAUCUUAAUUGGGGAGGAUGGGCUGAUAGUAAUGGCUGCAACGGAAUUAAAUGGAAUGGAAUCGAACACAUCAAACACGUGGUUUCCAUGUGUUUAAUAACAUUCCAUUCACUCCAUUCCAGCCACUAUUAUGAGCCGUCCUCCCCUCACCAGCCUCCUGUGAUACUUAGGAAGGUUACACUAAGGUACAUGAAUGAGUAUUACAUGUAUGUUCAUCAAAUCACAAACUGUGUAUAUUGUAUAAGAUGGUUGUYCCUAUUUAGUGACAAUGGGGCAAAGCUACCUUGUUUAAAGGUACACUCAGUAAGAUGGCAUUGUUAUACAUUUUCAUACAAAAAAUUAGGACCUAAGGCUCUUUACCAAAUGCGCCCUGUAUGAUACAACAUAAAUAUACACAUUAAACACAAAAUAUGUAUACACACAUUACAAUACAAGAACACAGUCAUGGGAAGCACAAAUAAAACAUCACAAAUCACCCAGAAAAACGGUUACAUUCAUCCACAAAUAAAACCCCAAUCAAUASUUUAAAUUGCCCGAACGGCACCAGAACAUCAAGAUGAAAUGUAUUUGGAAUUUUGUUCCAGCAAUACGGUGCAUUAAAAACGAAAAGCAGAUUUACCUAGCUUGCUGGAGACUCGAGGAACCUCAAGAGUUAACCAAGCCUGUGAACGGGUUAAGUAACUCAGGUGUUAGAUAAGACGGAAGUUUAUGAAGUAGGGCCUUGUAAACAACAAGGGUGUCUUCCUGCUUGCAGACAUUUUGAAUUCUGUUUAUAUCUGUGUAUGUGUAUGUUAUAUGGCUGAGUCUACCUUUAAGUUGUCUAUUGUCUUCUCAAUCUCAGUCAUGAUCUUAUAAGAUAGUAUAACAGACGCAUGGAAACGUAUGAAAUUGGAUUCGCAUUUAUUGUUGUCCGUUUUUGUCUGUCAAAAGUUCAACUCAAGUCAACUAUUUCUGGAGGAGUUUCAUACGCACAAAGGCCGUCAUCUUGUACGUUUUCUUUCUAUAGACAAUCAUCUCGGUUGUCCAUUUUCCAUCAACGGGAUGCCCUCCAUUGAAAAACCAUUGGCUCAAGCCAUAGUUUUCUCACGCAAACUUUCUGUCGGGCCACAGCCUUAGUAAUUGAUCAGGGCCCGGUUUCCCAAAAGCAUCUUGAGGCUAAGUUUAUCUUAGAACUGUAGGAUCCUUGAGAUGUUUUCAGGAAACCGGGCCUUGGUAGAUUCUCUCGUCCUCUUGCCUGUUGUCCAUCCAUCAUCAAAUCAGAUCACCUACUUCCUUUAAAAACUAWCCUUCAUGUGCUUUCAUAUAUCUACUUCACAAAUGCAGUAUUUAUGCAAUACAAAUGCAGUAUUCGCUGUAAAAAAAAAAAAAAAAYWGUGUUUUUUGUUAUAUGGAAAUUACAUUGACAAGUAUUUUUCAUGGUGCUAACGUUUAGCCUUUAAAAAAAAUCUAUAUUGUAAUGUUUUGCAAAUGUUGUUUAAUAUGACCUCUCUAGAGUAUUGUCCUGUAGGUUUGUAAUUUAUACUUUAAUAUUAUGUACUUUUGACUUAAAACGUUUUGUCCCUUUUGUAGUUGUGUUUUUCAUAAGGUUGCAAAAUUCUGGUAACUUUCCCACGAGUCCCAGGUUCUCCAGCAACCCCGGUUGGAAGAUUCCUGGAAUCAYGAAGUAAUAAGCAGGAAAUCUGGGAAAUAUAGGAAUCCUACAACCGGGAAUUUUGGAAAAGUUACCWGAUUUUUUUAUUUGUUUUUGCAACYCUAGUUUUGUAUUGUURAUGUUUUAUUACGAUAAAUCCUAUAGUUGCUGUCAUCAGUCUGUUUUAACACCAGUGAACCUCAUCAUACAGGUAGAUAUAUUGGGACCGUUGCACAUAGGGCUCUGGUUAAAAGUAGUGAACUAUGUUUUGGGAAUAGGGUGCCAUUUGGAAGGCACAGUGGUUGUACCUAAUAAGUAGUGCACCUGAUACUUGGCAAAGGUGGAGAACAAUAAACAUCAGAUUUCCAAACGAAA